CUCUCUCUGGCUCCGGUUCUCCUACAUGGAAGAAGAUGAUUGAUGAGGCUGUUAGCUUCCAGAAUCACAGGAUUAGAUACUUUACAGUGUGACCUGGGGCAGACAGACAGAUGGGCAGGCACAUGCACACGAGUGCGCGCGCCCACGCAAAUGAAACAAAAGUCUCAUCAAACAGUACUUGUCACACACCUUUGGCUCUUUAUGUGGUGGUGCUCUGUCUUCUCCCUCUACAGUGGUUUCUUAAUCGAUCGGAGAGGUGCAACACAAACCAUUGGCUUAGCUCCUCACUGUGCUCUGGGAAAAUUCCAUUUACAACCAGUUUAUAGCCCACUGCCUUUUCCCCCAAAGGGAACACACGUGGAUCUCAGUGUUGUAGGCAGAAAAGACUUAAAGGGAUGAAUGAAGAUUCAAGAUGUAGAUGAGAGAACCAGCCAGUCAGCAUCUUCCACAGGGUCUUCUCAUAAACACUUCUGAAUGUAGGAGGUAACUUUUAGUCUGCUCUAAGCAUGUGUGAGUAAAUAAUGCUGUGGCUUAAAACAAAA
rnacentral:lncRNA from 1 species